rnacentral:rRNA from 1 species
UACGUAGGUGGCAAGCGUUAUCCGGAUUUAUUGGGUGUAAAGCGAGCGCAGGUGGUUUAUUAAGUCUGGUGUAAAAGGCAGUGGCUCAACCAUUGUAUGCAUUGGAAGCUGGUAGACUUGAGUGCAGGAGAGGAGAGUGGAAUUCCAUGUGUAGCGGUGAAAUGCGUAGAUAUAUGGAGGAACACCGGUGGCGAAAGCGGCUCUCUGGCCUGUAACUGACACUGAGGCUCGAAAGCGUGGGGAGCAAACAGG